rnacentral:rRNA from 1 species
GAUGAACGCUGGCGGCGUGCCUAAUACAUGCAAGUCGAGCGAACGGACGAGAAGCUUGCUUUUCUGAUGUUAGCGGCGGACGGGUGAGUAACACGUGGAUAACCUACCUAUAAGACUGGGAUAACUUCGGGAAACCGGAGCUAAUACCGGAUAAUAUUUUGAACCGCAUGGUUCAAAAGUGAAAGACGGUCUUGCUGUCACUUAUAGAUGGAUCCGCGCUGUAUUAGCUAGUUGGUAAGGUAACGGCUUACCAAGGCAACGAAGCAUAGCCGACCUGAGAGGGUGAUCGGCCACACUGGAACUGAGACACGGUCCAGACUCCUACGGGAGGCAGCAGUAGGGAAUCUUCCGCAAUGGGCGAAAGCCUGACGGAGCAACGCCGCGUGAGUGAUGAAGGUCUUCGGAUCGUAAAACUCUGUUAUUAGGGAAGAACAUAUGUGUAAGUAACUGUGCACAUCUUGACGGUACCUAAUCAGAAAGCCACGGCUAACUACGUG